rnacentral:rRNA from 1 species
AGAAGUGAGAAUGCCGGUGUGAGUAGCGAAAGACGGGUGAGAAUCCCGUCCACCGAUUGACUAAGGUUUCCAGAGGAAGGCUCGUCCGCUCUGGGUUAGUCGGGUCCUAAGCUGAGGCCGACAGGCGUAGGCGAUGGAUAACAGGUUGAUAUUCCUGUACCACCUAUAAUCGUUUUAAUCGAUGGGGGGACGCAGUAGGAUAGGCGAAGCGUGCGAUUGGAUUGCACGUCUAAGCAGUAAGGCUGAGUAUUAGGCA